rnacentral:rRNA from 1 species
UACGGGGGGAGCAAGCGUUGUUCGGAUUUACUGGGCGUAAAGGGCGCGUAGGCGGCCAUCGCAAGCCAGUUGUGAAAUCUCUGGGCUUAACCCAGAAAGGUCAACUGAUACUGCGGGGCUAGAGUGCAGAAGGGGCAAUUGGAAUUCUCGGUGUAGCGGUGAAAUGCGUAGAUAUCGAGAGGAACACCUGCGGCGAAGGCGGGUUGCUGGGCUGACACUGACGCUGAGGCGCGAAAGCUAGGGGAGCGAACGGG